CCUACGGGAGGCAGCAGUGGGGAAUAUUGCACAAUGGGCGUAACCCUGAUGCAGCGACGCCGCGUGGGUGAAGGAGGAUUUCGGUAUGGAAAGCCCUAUCAGCAGGGAAGAACAGUGACGGUACCUUACUAUGAAGCACCGGCUAAAUACGUGCCAGCAGCCGCGGUAAUACGUAGGUGGCAAGCGUUGUCCGGAGUUACUGGGUGUAAAGGGCGUGUAGCCGGGUUGACAAGUCAGCUGUGAAAGUCUGCGGCUUAACCGCAGAACUGCAUUUGAAACUGUGGAUCUUGAGUACGGGAGAGGCAGGCGGAAUGCGUAGUGUAGCGGUGAAAUGCGUAGAUAUUAGGCGGAACACCAGUGGCGAAGGCGGUCUGCUGGAC
rnacentral:rRNA from 1 species